GCCAUCUUCCACGCCAGUUCCCAGGAGUUAAGCUCCCAUCCUUCUCCUCCACCCAGACUCCUUAGUCUGACCCCAGCCCCCUCCACCCCACCGCGACCACACAAGGGCCUCAUCUGGGAGGAUGAGAUGAAAGUUCUAGUCAGAGAGGGGUCGGUCUGCGAGAUCCUGGAACAAUAGGCGGGGCCUCCCUUUGUUGCCGUCCAAUCAGACUCAGAGUUGGGUUUGUGGGCGGGGCCAAGGAAACUCGCCCAGACUGUCGCUAGAGAAGUCGGCGCCCCAAGGAGAAAGGAAGAGGGACUCUGUGGGAUUGAGGCGACCUUCGAGUCUGACUCCAGUCAUAAAGCUCUCCACGUCACGUGACCAACCUCACCCUCGAUCCACAACAUCCUCAAUUUUAGCCGUGGCAAAUAGAGUGGAAGGACGUGGCCUGCUCGUCCCCUCUAAAGGCCCCCAGCCUGGAUUCGGCCCUUCAGCGAACCCGAGUAUUCCAGGGUGCAACAUUCAAGGUCAAGGUCGGGCAGCGGCUGUCUAGGGUGCAUCGGGACUCCGGACUCCUCGGUUUCCUAACCGAGAAGGGGGAGCCCUGCAAAUUGGGGGGUCUUAAUCUCGGGGAAGGGGUUCUUUCCGGUCAGCGAUCACCUCCUCCGAGUGGGGUGGGAGGACCCUCCCCGGGGUUCUGUGCGGGGCUGAGCCCCCUGGCCUCAAUGGGUCCCCAAGUAGCCCUCCUGGUGGCGGCGCUGGCCGGCUGCCUGCUUCCUGCCCGGAGCUGUGUCACUUGUGAUCCAAGGGUCGUGGCCGCGCUGGACGCCUUGGAAAAGGAAUACCUGCCUACCCACCUCGCCCCCGGGCGUCACAGAGAAGUGAUGGAAAAGAUAAGACAAACCGUGAGGAAUUUCCGGGACCUGCCAGAUUUAGAGGAUACCUUUCUGGGGGUUAUCGAUGAGGCCACAAUGGAAACGUCAGUCUUGAGUUUUCUGAGGAGUGUGAGACUUAUCAGAAACAGUGGUGUAGCAGAUGACACUUUCGUGAAGGAGUUCUCCUGGAUGUUGACUCUGGAAAAGGCAGCCUUUCGUGGCUACGUCACUCGAUUCCAAAGAGAGGAUUUCUGUCCCAACAAAUGUGGUACAAUGUUGCAGCUUCUGAUCUGGUGCAGUAACUGUAAAAAGCAGCUUCACGUUUGUCGAAAAUCCAGAGAUUGUGGGGUGCGCCAAAUCAACGUCCAUGAAACGGAAGACCUGAUCCUGGACUGUGAGCUCGACUGGCAUAAAUUAUCUCAAGGCCUGACCUAUUACAGCUUUUACAGGGUUUGGGGGAGCAAUUCUGAGACCUUGGUGUCCGAGGGGAAACGGCCCACCCUGAUCAAGCGACUGGUGAGGCCAGAGGAUGCGGGUAACUACCGCUGCGAGUUGGGCACUGAGCGAUCCGGCCCAGCCACGGUCAUCCAUUUUGAAGUCACAGUGUUGCCCAAAAGAGUCAUUGAGGAGAUCCCGAAAUCAAAGCCCGGGACCCAGUAUCAGUGGUUCCGAUCCCUCAAGCCGUCAGAGUGUCUGAAUCCCAAGGACGUGCUGAGAGGCUUUCUGUUCGAGAUGCUGAUCUGGGGCUUUGUGUUUCUGAUCCUCGGCUUUGCCACCUCGUGAGCCGCCUCCCGGAGAAGGCAGGGCUUGGGGCGAGGGGCGGGGUCUCCAACGUCCUGACCGUACUUUGCUUUAGGUCUGGGACCCUGAUCCAUUCGGUCAUGUCCUGGGUCCGUACCGACAAGGCAGCAGCCCCAGAGGACCAGGGUCCACAAAGUGGGCUGUCACAGACCCAGCUAUCACAGAGCCAGGUGUCACAGACCCAGCUUCCCAAGGUACCGAACGAAGAAAAGGCCACAGCACCAAGGCUUAAAUAAAGAUUUAUCUGGUUGCCUAAA